CAGUGGGGAGGGGAAAGGGAAGCGCGAGGGGGAGUCGGUGGAAAAUGCGCCGUGGCCAUGAAGUAAGUGUUCUUCUGAAGGUUUGGAAAUCAUGGAACACAUGUUCUUUUUGCGGUCGGAGGGGGAAUGUCCCUGGAGGAGCACCGAGGGUGAGGGUUUUCCCACCCCUGGAUUUUGAAGUCAUUUUGUUUUCCUGUUUUCUUGAGCACUGGCUUUCAAUGCCAGUUAGCGGAUUUAUGGAGGGACUUCUUUAUUAUUAUAAGAUCCAACUCUGCCACCUUACUCCGUAGUCUAUACUGCACAUUUCUGUAUUCGUGCAUUUCUGCGAAGCUUUCCUUGGCAUUGAACCUCAUUUCGAGUUCUUUCGAGCUCUAUACAAGCUUGUGCCGCUCCCCUUUUCUAAGAGGAUGGAUAGAGUCGGGUGCGCUCAUUUGGAGCUUCAAGAGAAAGUAUUCGGGAAGUAUUUGGUGUUCCUCAAGAUUGCAUUGAGCCCUGACUGGCCAUACGACUGGUUUUAUAUUAGGAACCCGUUGACUGUUCUUCCUAAGUUUAGCGCUGAGCCGGCUGAGUGGUUGUUUGGCUGGUAUAUUGGGUCCCUCAUUGGGUGUCCAGUGCAAGUUUCUGAGCUGCUGGAACACACCGUCAGCCUCCAGAAGAUGGGUGUGACGACUGCCUCAGCUGUUUGGAACUACAUUCAGCGCCAGAUUCAGCCACUACAGAGGCGGUUCCAUUUUGCUUUCUAGUACCAUGGGACUGAAGAUAUUGAUCAGUUAUCUACAGAGCCGAUUGACCGUGAAGCUGGUCUCAGGGUCAUUCGGAGUAUCUUUCUAGACCUGCUCAUUGUUUAGUAUGUGCCCACAGUUUUUCGGGCGACGAAUCCUCCUGCGGAGGCUGAUGUGAGGGUGUUCAAGAGUGACCCUCCUAUUCCUGGCUUUGUGGGGAAAGUGGGACGAAAUGACUUUCAUGCUUACCCACCUAGCUGCGAGCCCAAGCCUCCUGUUUUCGAAGAUGAUCCCAUGUCCUCUUCCAGCGAACUUUCUGCUGGGGGAAGGGCGAAAACAGAAAGUAUGACGAUUGGAGGUCUUCUGCUGGCUCUGGGUUGUCCGAAGCGACCGCUGUCCAGGAGUCUGGCGAUGAAGUGAUUAGUCCAAGUACUUAGGGUCAUUCUGCAGUCCCGGCGUCAGCAGAUGUUGCUGCUUCAAGGCCAGUCGCUUCCACCACUAGCUCUGGGCUGUUGUGGUGGGGGUUGAAAGUGCCAAAGAAGCUUGUUGUGAAGAGGGCAAAGAUAGGAGUUGCAGACUUGAACUUGCUGGCGCAUAGGGCGAGGGCUUCCAAGUCGACUGCUUCUACGGGUGGUCGAUCGAAUGAGUCGACCACAUCGCCGUCCGGGGAGUCACUGGUGUAGGGGCCCCGACUGCUGUUCCUUCUCCUGAUCUGACUGAUGCGGGCAAGGCGGAUCUGGAGAGGGCAGGGAAUGAUGGGUUUGUGCCGACGAGGGGGCCUUCCACCGAUCCAGUCGUGGGAGUGACUGGGUGGGGCUCUAUUGAAGAUACUGAAGUCCCGGUCCGCUCUCCGCCUCCUGCCUUUGAGGAUGUGCCGGAGAUGCAGGCGGGGGACGCGAGCGCCGAGGUUCGCUGAGGAGUUCCUUCGGAGGAGCCUGCUACGGUGGAGCCGGCCAGAGAUGAAGCUCCAGGAGUCGUUCCUCCGGAGAUGUCUGAUGAGAUCCCUAAUGGACUCCUAAAUGACAAUCUAUUGGAGGACCGCCUCUUGAAGGAGAUGCAGGACUCGCUAAAGCGAGUACACAACCAUCAUGUGGUAAUGUUUCUUUGAUGUAGUCGAAACAUUUAAUCUUUCUCUUGUGAGAGUGUGUGCUGAUGACCUACUUUUUGCCGUCUUCGUGCAAAAACUGGCCCGGAGGUCCCGGAUCAAGUCGUCUGCUCUGGCUGUAAAGUCAGAGCGACUCCAACAGUUUCCUGCUCUCAAGUGGGAGCUCGAGGAGAAGGAUGAUUUGAUUGCUUCGCUUGCAGAGCAGUUGGCUGCAGCACGUGAGAGCAUGACUGGUUCUACCCGUCAGCAUAAUGAGGAGCUUGCCCAGCUGUGGAGGGAGAGGGCUCAGGCCCUUCAAGAUUCUCUACGGCUCCAUGAGUUUAACGCUGAUCUUGAAGGGUAGAAGAAGACUGUGGAGUGUUGACAUUUUUUAACGUCGCUACUAGGAGGGGUUAGUUUCUAGCAACGAUGCCAGAAAUGCCUGUGGGCAUUCCUUAGCAUAAUCACUAUGAACAGGUUAGGUCCAUAGCAACAACACCAUGAAAUUUCAUGUGGUAUGUCUUAACGAUUACAGAAGGAUCCGCAAGCACACGGAUAUACCGUUGCAGCAUUUCACCCGGAAGUAUUUAGGGUAUCGUUAUUUAUAUUUUCCCAAGGGAUGGCGUGGUGUGUAAAGGUGUUCGCCAGAUAUAUACAGUAUGAGAUAAGGUGCAGAUUGCCGAUUAUACAGGGGUAGUCAUGAUAAAUGAUAA